GACGAACGCUGGCGGCGUGCUUAACACAUGCAAGUCGAACGAAGAGCGACGGAAGCUUGCUUCUAUCAAUCUUAGUGGCGAACGGGUGAGUAACGCGUAAUCAACCUGCCCUUCAGAGGGGGACAACAGUUGGAAACGACUGCUAAUACCGCAUACGAUCUAAUCUCGGCAUCGAGGAUGGAUGAAAGGUGGCCUCUACAUGUAAGCUCUCACUGAAGGAGGGGAUUGCGUCUGAUUAGCUAGUUGGAGGGGUAACGGCCCACCAAGGCGAUGAUCAGUAGCCGGUCUGAGAGGAUGAACGGCCACAUUGGGACUGAGACACGGCCCAGACUCCUACGGGAGGCAGCAGUGGGGAAUCUUCCGCAAUGGACGAAAGUCUGACGGAGCAACGCCGCGUGAGUGAUGACGGCCUUCGGGUUGUAAGGCUCUGUUAAUCGGGACGAAAGGCCUUCUUGCGGAUAGUGAGAAGGAUUGACGGUACCGGAAUAGAAAGCCACGGCUAACUACGUG
rnacentral:rRNA from 1 species